GAGCCAUUAGCUUAAUAGGUAGAGCGUCUAAUUGUCAAUUAGGAAAGUUUCAGUUCAAAUCUGUAAUGGCUCG
rnacentral:tRNA from 5 species